AUCAAUAUUGGUUUACUUCCUAACACUGUAUUAGGUCAAGAGUGACCAUUACAAUGUACUCUCAUAUACUGUCCCCAGUCAUAGAUCAGUAUACCAAACCAAGUUCAGUCUUACAGAUCUAUCAUACCGGAAUAAAGCCGUGUGAUUUUUUAGAAGACGUGCAAACUGAUCUUUGUGAAUUUAUGUAUUGAGAUACAAGGCUGGUCUUCUCUAAGUCAUGUGAACGAUUUAUACGUAUAUCAAGUCAAGGUUGCAGGUUUAAAGCCUCAUUCAUUCUCAGCCCAGCAAUGGACGAGGACAAAAGUCCGGCACCGAAGAAUUACCAGGAAUAUUUGAUGCUGCAAAACUUGCUGAAAUGUCAAGUUUUACAAAGCGAGAAGGCAGGAAAACCAGUCCAUGACGAGCACCUCUUUAUCAUCACACAUCAAG